rnacentral:rRNA from 1 species
UACGUAGGGGGCAAGCGUUGUCCGGAUUUAUUGGGCGUAAAGAGCGUGUAGGCGGCUAGAUAGGUCCGUUGUGAAAACUCGAGGCUCAACCUCGAGACGUCGAUGGAAACCAUCUGGCUAGAGUCCGGAAGAGGAGAGUGGAAUUCCUGGUGUAGCGGUGAAAUGCGCAGAUAUCAGGAAGAACACCCGUGGCGAAGGCGGCUCUCUGGGACGUGACUGACGCUGAGACGCGAAAGCGUGGGGAGCGAACAGG